AGGCCAGGCACUACUCUGUCCCAACAAUAAGCCCUGUACAUUGGGAAAGGUGCCGAGACAUGAACUUUGGUCUUCUCUGCAAUCCAUCUGGAGCAUUCACUGACAACAUCGACUUUGAAGUUGCACUGACCUGGCCAGCCCUGCCACUUACCAGGUUGGGCUGUGGCUUGCCUUUUCACUUCUUGUGUCCUGUUUAAGAAAUAUCUGCUAUCCCAAGCAUCUGGCAUCUUUCUUGACAUAUGUAGCAGUUGCUUUUUGACAGCUUGCUUCUUCAGUGAAUGAAUAAAUUAAUAAAGAGAAAUGUGAUGUUCAGUGAUCCAUUUUGCAGAUUGCAAACUCCUAGAGAAGGGCUCAACAGUGAGUGCUGAGGCUGCACAGAGGAGGAAGGCAGCACAAUGAUGGAAGGCUUCCUAAAGAGAUAACACUAACAAAGUUGACCUUAGAAUUGGAGUGCCUGGGUUAGAACCCUGCUGGUACCACCUGCUUACUGCAUGCUUCUGAUGUGAGUUCAGGAGAAGACACUGGCAAGGACAGCAAAGAACAGGAGAACACUCUAGCUUCCCUGAUAGCAUUCAAGGUGCUGUCCAAACUGACUGUGAUGGCACCCUCCAGACAGACAGCGAUGCCACAUGUUCAAGAUGGCAGAAUCACUAUCAGCUUCAAUUCCUGAAUGACUGCAGAGCAAAAUUUCUUACCUGCAACAUACACUCUAUUUUCAGCCUCCCUGGACUGUUACAUAAUGAUACAUAAAAAUAUUUCUUGUGUUGAGGCAUCCCAAAUUUGAUUUAUUUGUCAUCACAGUCUAUCCUAUGAAUAUAUUUCUGAUCCAAAUAAUGCUAGAUUCAUGAGAGUUUAUAGUCCAGAGAUUUUUUUUUUUUUUUUGAGACAGAAUCUGUCUCCCAGGCUGGGGUGCAGUGGCAUAAUCUUAGCUCACUGCAACCUCUGCCUCCCGGGCUCAAGUGAUCCUCCCUCCUUAGCCUCCAUGAGUAGCUGGGACCACAGGUGUGCACCACCACACCCCGCUAAUUAUUUUGUAUUUUUUGCAGAGGGGGGUUUCACCACAUUGCCCAAGCUGGUCUCAAACUCCUAGACUUAAGGGAUCUGCCUGCCUUGGCCUCCCAAAAUGCUGAAAUUACACUUGUUAGCCAUAGUAAUAGUUCCUAGCCAUAGUCCGGAGAUAUUUUAAAAACUUUAGUGUGAGUUAUUUCUCUUUGCUAUAAUUCUCUCAUGCAUUUUGAAAACCUUUUCUGCCAUACAGUGGUUUUUGGGAAGUCCUUUUGGACAGACAUAUCACAGGAUGGAGAAACUAAAAAGAGAGAAUGCAUUAAAGAAAAAA
rnacentral:lncRNA from 1 species